UACGUAGGUGGCAAGCGUUGUCCGGAUUUACUGGGUGUAAAGGGCGUGCAGCCGGGCUGACAAGUCAGAUGUGAAAUCCCGCGGCUCAACCGCGGAACUGCAUUUGAAACUGUCAGUCUUGAGUACCGGAGAGGCCAUCGGAAUUCCUUGUGUAGCGGUGAAAUGCGUAGAUAUAAGGAAGAACACCAGUGGCGAAGGCGGAUGACUGGACGGCAACUGACGGUGAGGCGCGAAAGCGUGGGGAGCAAACAGG
rnacentral:rRNA from 1 species